CACCAGUAGGGUGUGGUGCCCCAGGAGCCCUGUGAAGGAAUCAUUUCCACAAAGCAGAGUUGGCAGCUGCCCGUCAGUACUCCUAACAGAUCCAGUGAUCCCUAAAAGAUAAGAAUUUGAAAUGCACUCAAGUGCCCCAAGAGACGCAACCACUCUGCUCAUACUACACACAGCCUACGACCUUUAAUCACACGUGCGAUGGAUUCAGGACCCAUUUUCAGAGCUUCAUCUCAAAGACCUUCUAUGGGAAACAGAUGGGUUGGAUGAGUAAGGGCUGAGUCAGCCUCACAGAGGCUGAAUCUUUGGUUCCAAGGAGUCUAAAACCCACUAAGCCAUCCCCUCUGGUGAAGAGAUUAUACGCCAGAUGGGAGCAAAACUUGCCCUUUUCUGAUCCAGAGGCCGAAGUGUUCCUCAUUAGAACACUGCUGUGCUUAAUGGAGGCCUAAAAAUCAAAUCCUUCCAAUAUGCUAUUUAAUAUGGCUAAGCACAAGCAAGGGGCAAGCUUGCCCAACUCUUUUCCGAAG
rnacentral:lncRNA from 1 species